AAGAAAAAAAGAAAGAAACAAGGAAAUGUUAUAAGGUUGGUUAUUAUUUUUUUCUGCUCCUUUUCUCAGCAACUUCAGAGCGAUCCAUCUUUUCUCUUUCUCACUUUCACCCCUGGUCACUUUCUUC
rnacentral:ribozyme from 14 species